CGCCAUGGCCAGCGGCAACGCCGCAUCGGCCACGACUUCAGUGAGCGGGAGGUCCCGGGUUCGAAUCCCGGCCGGGGC
rnacentral:tRNA from 1 species